GCCGGCGGCGCCGCCGAGUUGCGAGUGGGCGAGAGCGGCGGGAAGUUCGUACUGGGCAGAAGGCGACGGAUCUGCGGCGCGCGAAAUUGCCUGAAAAGCAACAAGGAGAUUAAGAAGCACAGAUUUCAUGUUGGGGGACUUCCUGUAACCUUUGCCGAGUGAAAAUGCCUCGUGUAAAAGCAGCUCAAGCUAGAAGACGGGCCCCUGCAAAGAGACAUCUUGCGGAACACUUUGCAGCUGGGGAGAUAAUAACUGACCUGUCAAAAAAGGAAUGGAAGCUAGGAUCACCUGUUGGCCAAGGCGGCUUUGGCUGUAUAUAUCUUGCUGAUACAAAUUCUUCAAAAUCGGUUGGCAGUGAUGCACCCUGUGUUGCAAAAGUGGUAAGAAAAUAUUACAGAUAUUCUUUUU